GGCCGGUGUCGGUGUGAUGAAGAUUGGCGGGCAGGUCCUGGUUGGCUGAGAGGACCAUGGAAAAGCUGGAAUAACAACCGUGUAGAAGGCAAUGAAGAAGACCUGGAUUGCAGCAGUAACCCUCAGAGUGAUCCCGUGAGGAGCUUGAGGAGCUUUCAGCACCCAGCAGGAGUGGAAGAGGAGGGGACAGGACCACCUUGGCCUCCAUCCCCUGUGCACAGACCAAGGAGGAGCUCGCCUUCGUUUGCUGGACACAUCUCGGUUGUGAUCCCUACCCAGUUUUCAGGGCAGUGGGAGGACACUUCCAGGGCAGUGGCUCCCUGAGCACCCCCUAACAGUUCUCCAUGUGAGUCCCAAGCAGGAUGCACCAUGUGUCCCCUGCACCAGCUCUGACCAUGAUGGCCACCCAGACAGUGCCUCCUCCUCCCUACCAAGACACCCCACAGAUGACAGCCACAGCCCAG